rnacentral:rRNA from 3 species
AGUGACGAUAGCCUAGGAGAUACACCUGUUCCCAUGCCGAACACAGAAGUUAAGCCCUAGUACGCCUGAUGUAGUUGGGGGUUGCCCCCUGUUAGAUACGGUAGUCGCUUAGCC